UGCAGUCGAGCGGAGAUGAGGUGCUUGCACCUUAUCUUAGCGGCGGACGGGUGAGUAAUGCUUAGGAAUCUGCCUAUUAGUGGGGGACAACAUUCCGAAAGGAAUGCUAAUACCGCAUACGCCCUACGGGGGAAAGCAGGGGAUCUUCGGACCUUGCGCUAAUAGAUGAGCCUAAGUCGGAUUAGCUAGUUGGUGGGGUAAAGGCCUACCAAGGCGACGAUCUGUAGCGGGUCUGAGAGGAUGAUCCGCCACACUGGGACUGAGACACGGCCCAGACUCCUACGGGAGGCAGCAGUGGGGAAUAUUGGACAAUGGGCGGAAGCCUGAUCCAGCCAUGCCGCGUGUGUGAAGAAGGCCUUUUGGUUGUAAAGCACUUUAAGCGAGGAGGAGGCUACUUAGAUUAAUACUCUAGGAUAGUGGACGUUACUCGCAGAAUAAGCACCGGCUAACUCUGUGCCAGCAGCCGCGGUAAUACAGAGGGUGCGAGCGUUAAUCGGAUUUACUGGGCGUAAAGCGUGCGUAGGCGGCUGAUUAAGUCGGAUGUGAAAUCCCUGAGCUUAACUUAGGAAUUGCAUUCGAUACUGGUCAGCUAGAGUAUGGGAGAGGAUGGUAGAAUUCCAGGUGUAGCGGUGAAAUGCGUAGAGAUCUGGAGGAAUACCGAUGGCGAAAGCAGCCAUCUGGCCUAAUACUGACGCUGAGGUACGAAAGCAUGGGGAGCAAACAGGAUUAGAUACCCUGGUAGUCCAUGCCCGUAACGAUGUCUACUAGCCGUUGGGGCCU
rnacentral:rRNA from 1 species